UGGCUCAGAUUGACGCUGGCGGCAGGCCUAACACGUGCAAGUCGAACGGUAACAGGAAGCAGCUUGCUGCUUCGCUGACGAGUGGCGGACGGGUGAGUAAUGUCUGGGAAACUGCCUGAUGGAGGGGGAUAACUACUGGAAACGGUGGCUAAUACCGCAUAACGUCGCAAGACCAAAGAGGGGGACCUUCGGGCCUCUUGCCAUCAGAUGUGCCCAGAUGGGAUUAGCUUGUUGGUGAGGUAACGGCUCACCAAGGCGACGAUCCCUAGCUGGUCUGAGAGGAUGACCAGCCACACUGGAACUGAGACACGGUCCAGACUCCUACGGGAGGCAGCAGUGGGGAAUAUUGCACAAUGGGCGCAAGCCUGAUGCAGCCAUGCCGCGUGUAUGAAGAAGGCCUUCGGGUUGUAAAGUACUUUCAGCGGGGAGGAAGGUGUUGUGGUUAAUAACCGCAGCAAUUGACGUUACCCGCAGAAGAAGCACCGGCUAACUCCGUGCCAGCAGCCGCGGUAAUACGGAGGGUGCAAGCGUUAAUCGGAAUUACUGGGCGUAAAGCGCACGCAGGCGGUCUGUCAAGUCGGAUGUGAAAUCCCCGGGCUCAACCUGGGAACUGCAUUCGAAACUGGCAGGCUUGAGUCUUGUAGAGGGGGGUAGAAUUCCAGGUGUAGCGGUGAAAUGCGUAGAGAUCUGGAGGAAUACCGGUGGCGAAGGCGGCCCCCUGGACAAAGACUGACGCUCAGGUGCGAAAGUGUGGGGAGCAAACAGGAUUAGAUACCCUGGUAGUCCACGCCGUAAACGAUGUCUACUUGGAGGUUGUGCCCUUGAGGCGUGGCUUCCGGAGCUAACGCGUUAAGUAGACCGCCUGGGGAGUACGGCCGCAAGGUUAAAACUCAAAUGAAUUGACGGGGGCCCGCACAAGCGGUGGAGCAUGUGGUUUAAUUCGAUGCAACGCGAAGAACCUUACCUGGUCUUGACAUCCACAGAAGAAUCCAGAGAUGGAUUUGUGCCUUCGGGAACUGUGAGACAGGUGCUGCAUGGCUGUCGUCAGCUCGUGUUGUGAAAUGUUGGGUUAAGUCCCGCAACGAGCGCAACCCUUAUCCUUUGUUGCCAGCGAUUAGGUCGGGAACUCAAAGGAGACUGCCAGUGAUAAACUGGAGGAAGGUGGGGAUGACGUCAAGUCAUCAUGGCCCUUACGACCAGGGCUACACACGUGCUACAAUGGCGCAUACAAAGAGAAGCGACCUCGCGAGAGCAAGCGGACCUCAUAAAGUGCGUCGUAGUCCGGAUUGGAGUCUGCAACUCGACUCCAUGAAGUCGGAAUCGCUAGUAAUCGUGGAUCAGAAUGCCACGGUGAAUACGUUCCCGGGCCUUGUACACACCGCCCGUCACACCAUGGGAGUGGGUUGCAAAAGAAGUAGGUAGCUUAACCUUCGGGAGGGCGCUUACCACUUUGUGAUUCAUGACUGGGGUGAAGUCGUAACAAGGUA
rnacentral:rRNA from 1 species